rnacentral:misc_RNA from 1 species
AUAUAUCAACCUCUUCAGCUUUUGCUUGUUGAGUGUUGGAUGUGGGGGUCCUUUUGCUGGUCUUUUCAAAAGGUCAGCUCCCCUAAAAUGUAUUAGCGGAACAAUUUGUUGACCGUUCAUUGGUGUGAUAAUUAUCUACGCUAUUGACGUGAGGCAGUUCAGCUUCUAACAGUCCAUUGACUUGGACAGCUUUUUAUUA